rnacentral:rRNA from 1 species
GGGCAAAAUAGCACCGUAACUUCGGGAGAAGGUGUGCCCGCCGACGUGAUGGAACUUGCUUCCUGAGCGUUGGCGGGUCGCAGUGAAAUGGGGGUUGCGACUGUUUACUAAAAACACAGGACUGUGCGAACUCGUAAGAGGACGUAUACGGUCUGACGCCUGCCCGGUGCUGGAAGGUUAAGGGGAGAGGUUAGCGCAAGCGAAGCUUCGAACCGAAGCCCCAGUAAACGGCGGCCGUAACGAUAACGGUCCUAAGGUAGAAAAUUCCUUGUCGGGUAAGUUCCGACCUGCACGAGGGCGUAACGACAUCCCUACUGUCUCGGCCAGCGACUCAGCGAAAUUGUAUCGGGGGUGAAGAUACCCUCUACCCGCGGCAAGACGGAAAGACCCCAUGAACCUUUACUGCAACUUGGCAGUGAGGUUAGGAACAGUCUGCGUAGGAUAGGUAGGAGGCUUUGAAGUCGGGAUUCCGGUCUCGAUGGAGCCGUCGUUGAAAUACUACCCUGGCUUUUCUGGACUUCUAACCUAGGCCCCUCAACGGGGUCGGGGACACUGCCUGGUGGGCAGUUUGACUGUGCGGUCGCCUCCCAAACAGUAACGGAGGCGCGCGAAGGUACCCUCAGGCUGAUUGGAAACCAGCCGGCGAGUGCAAUGGCACAAGGGUGCUUAACUGUGAGAGGGACACCUCGAGCAGGUGCGAAAGCAGGCCAUAGUGAUCCGGUGGUCCCGCAUGGAAGGGCCAUCGCUCAUCGGACAAAAGGUACUCUGGGGAUAACAGGCUGAUCGCGCCUGAGAGUCCAUAUCGGCGGCGCGGUUUGGCACCUCGAUGUCGGCUCAUCGCAUCCUGGGGCUGGAGCAGGUCCCAAGGGUUUGGCUGUUCGCCAAUUAAAGCGGUACGCGAGCUGGGUUUAGAACGUCGUGAGACAGUUCGGUCCCUAUCUGCCGUGGGCGCAGGAUACUUGAGAGGAGCUGUUCAUAGUACGAGAGGACCUGAACGGACGCACCUCUAGUGUUCCGGUUGUCAUGCCAAUGGCAUAGCCGGGUAGCUAUGUGCGGAACGGAUAACCGCUGAAAGCAUCUAAGCGGGAAGCCGGCCUCAAGACAAGGUAUCCCGGGGCAUAAGCCCCCUGAAGGCCCCUUGAAGACUACAAGGUGAUAGGCGGGAGGUAGAAGCGCAGCGAUGCGCGGAGCUGACCCGUACUAAUAGGCCGUGCGGCUUGACCGA